rnacentral:lncRNA from 1 species
UAGCCGGGUGUAGUGGUGGGCGCCUGUAAUCCCAGCUACCUGGGAGGCUGAGGCAGGAGAAUCUCUUGAACUUGGGAGGUGGAGGUUGCAGUGAGUUGAGAUCACACCACUGCACUCCAGCUUGGGUGGCAGAAAGAAACUCCAUCUCAAAUAAAUAAAAUAUAGGCUGGGUGUGGUGGCUCAUGCUGUAAUCCCAGCACUUUGGGAGGCCGAGGUGGGCAGAUUGCUUGAGCCCAGGAAUUUGAGGCCAGCCUGAGCAACGUGGCAAAAUCCCAUCUCUACAAAAAUAAUAAUAAAAAAAAUUAGCUGGGCAUGGUGGUAUGCACCUGUAGUCAGUGCCAGCUACUCCAGAGGCUGAGGUGGGAGGCUCACUUGAGCCUGCAAGGUAGAGGCUGACAGAGAGAGACUUUCUCUCAACAACAAUAACAACAAAAUAUAUAUGUAGGCUGGGAGCUGUGGUGCAUGCCUGUAAUCCAAGCAUUUUGGGAGGCCGAGGCAGGAGGAUCACUUGAGUUCAGGAGUUUGAGACCAGCCUGGGCAACAUAGUGAGACUUCAUCUACUAAAAAUACAAAAAAACUAGCUGAGUGUGGUGGGGUGUGCUUAUAGUCCCAGCUACUUGGGAGGCUUAGGUGGGAGAAUCACUUGAGCCUGGGAGUGGAGGCUGAAGUGAGCUAUGAUCUUACCCCUGCACUCCAGCCUGGAUGACAGAGCGAGACUGUCUAAAAAAAAAAAAAAAAAAAACAACAAACAAAAUAACAACAACAGCAACAAUUAAAAAAAACAAAAAACCAGGCUAAAAUUCUCCCUGCCUUAAAAAAAGAAAAAGAAAAACAAACCUUUACUUCUGUAAACCCAUAAGAUUUGCACAACUUAAAAAGUCUGAAGUCACCUUUUUUUUUGAGACGGAGUCUCGCUCUGUUGCCCAGGUUGGAGUGCAGUGGCAUGAUUUUGGCUCACUGCAACCUCUGCCUCCUGGGUUCAAGUGGUUCUCCUGCUUCAGCCUCCUGAGUAGCUGGGAUUACACAGGCUCGUGCCACCACACCCAGCUAAUUUUUUAUAUUUUUGGUAGAGAUGGGGUUUCACCAUGUUGGCCAGGCUGGUCUUGAACUCCUGACCUCAAGUGAUCCACCCACCUCUGCCUCCCAAAUUGUUGGGAUUACAGGCUUGAGCCACUGUGCCCAGCCCUGAUGAUACAUUUCAUUUUAAACUAUCAUUCAGGAGUAAGGGUAAAACAAGAUUUUCAGAGAGGGAACCAUAGGGAAGCUGGCGAGACGGGCAGAAACAGGAAAUUGUGUACUCCGUUUGUUGGAAUCUGAAUCAGCCUACUAUGUGGAGAACACUUUGUUAAUCCUACUUAGAUAUCUGCAUACUUUGUGGUAGAGACAUUUGUAAGUAUCUGCUCUAGGUAGAGACAUUUGUAAGUAACUGCUCUAGAGAAACCUGUUCCUAUGUUCGCAAGGGCAUAAGUACCAAGACAUUCACUGUGGCACUGUUGGCCAUUCUAAAGAAGUGGAAAAAAACCGACUCUGCCCUGGAAGGGGAACAGGAGAGUGAGAUGCGGCAUUGUCUAUCAUCGAAUACUCCAAAGCAGCAAAGCCAGACAGUAUGAAACUCCGUCUGCCAACGCAUCUAAACAUCAAAAACAUGAUGCAAGAUAAAAGCAAGCUGCAACACGAUAUACACAGUAUUAUCAUAAUUUAUGUAAAGUGAAAGACACUGAAGCUAUAAUAUACAUCAUUAAUGGAAAUAUACACAUAUAUCAAAGUGUAGAAAAGUCAGUUAGACCUUACAGCUGACUAACACAAUAACCAAUACUACACGUCAACAGCUGUGCCGCUGGGGCACGGGGAGGGGAGGGGAGGGAAGGGAUGAUCCUCAGCUCUCUCUAUAGUGGUUUAUUUCUAGCAGACAGAGAAACAGCUCCAAAGCAAAGGGAUUUCAUGGAUUAUUUCUGCAUGGCCAGUAAGGGUGUCUGUUACUUCAUUAUUUCUCUGUAUGUUUAAAAAUUUUAUAAUGAAAAUGUAUUAUCUCUACACGAGCACUUUUUAUUUCCCCUGUGAAUAAUCAGAAGAGUUGGAAAAUAAAUAAGAAGGAAAUAA